rnacentral:rRNA from 1 species
UGGGGAAUCUUGGACAAUGGGCGCAAGCCUGAUCCAGCCAUGCCGCGUGGAUGAUGAAGGCCUUAGGGUUGUAAAAUCCUUUCGUGGGGGACGAUAAUGACGGUACCCCAAGAAGAAGCUCCGGCUAACUUCGUGCCAGCAGCCGCGGUAAUACGAAGGGGGCUAGCGUUGUUCGGAUUUACUGGGCGUAAAGCGCGUGUAGGCGGGUCGUUAAGUUGGGGGUGAAAUCCCGAGGCUCAACCUCGGAACUGCCUUCAAAACUGGCGACCUGGACCCAAGUAGAGGCAAGUGGAAUUGCGAGUGUAGAGGUGAAAUUCGUAGAUAUUCGCAGGAACACCAGUGGCGAAGGCGACUUGCUGGACUUGUGGUGACGCUGAGACGCGAAAGCGUGGGGAGCAAACAGGAUUAGAUACCCUAGUAGUCCCUGAGCGGGCUGGCAAGGCGCAU